rnacentral:rRNA from 1 species
CCCUUAGACGUUCUGGGCCGCACGCGCGCUACACUGACCAGUGCAACAAGCAUCCGUCCUUGGCCGACAGGCCCGGGCAAUCUUUGAACGCUGGUCGUGAUGGGGAUAGACUUUUGCAAUUUUUGGUCUUCAACGAGGAAUUCCUAGUAAACGCAAGUCAUCAACUUGCAUUGAUUACGUCCCUGCCCUUUGUACACACCGCCCGUCGCACCUACCGAUUGAAUGGUCCGGUGAAGCCUCCGGAUUGGCGCGCACCUCGGUGCCGCCGAGAAGUUGGCUAAACCUUACCAUUUAGAGGAACGUGAAGUCGUAACA